rnacentral:SRP_RNA from 1 species
UACCAGCCGGGGAGAUAGCGGUGCCCUGCACCCACAAUCCGCUACAGUGGGGGUGGUUUCUUAUUUUGAGGCUGUUUUCCGUAUGGCAGCCGUUUGGCAUACUGUGUUGAUAAACGGGUCUUGCGCAAUCAAAUGUCGUGAACCAUGUCAGGUGGGGAACCAAGCAGCAUUAAGCGAUUUCUUUGGUGUGCCGCAGGGCAGCCUGUUUUGAGCAGUUGC